rnacentral:rRNA from 1 species
UUCGUCGGUCCGGCACAUUGUGCGGGUACUUGAUGGACUCGUCCAUCCUUGGGUGGAAUCUGUGUGGCAUUAAGUUGUCGUGCAGGGGAUGCCCAUCGUUUACUGUGAAAAAAUUAGAGUGUUCAAAGCAGGCUUAUGCCGUUGAAUAUAUUAGCAUGGAAUAAUGAGAUAGGACCUUGGUACUAUUUUGUUGGUUUGCGCACCGAGGUAAUGAUUAAUAGGGACAGUUGGGGGUAUUCGUAUUCCAUUGUCAGAGGUGAAAUUCUUGGAUUUUUGGAAGACGAACUACUGCGAAAGCAUUUACCAAGGAUGUUUUCAUUAAU